rnacentral:rRNA from 1 species
UACAGAGGUCCCAAGCGUUGUUCGGAUUCACUGGGCGUAAAGGGUGCGUAGGUGGCUUGGUAAGUUUGAUGUGAAAUCUCCGGGCUUAACCCGGAAAUGGCAUUGAAUACUAUUGAGCUGGAGGUUUGGAGGGGGGACUGGAAUUCUCGGUGUAGCAGUGAAAUGCGUAGAUAUCGAGAGGAACACCAGUGGCGAAGGCGAGUCCCUGGACAACACCUGACACUGAGGCACGAAAGCUAGGGGAGCAAACAGGAUUAGA